rnacentral:rRNA from 1 species
AUGAAAUGGGCGCUCAGAGCAAAGGUUUCUAAGAUUGUCCGAGGGGAUGAUAACACCCAAUUCUUCCACAUAAUAGCUAAUGGGAAACAUAGAAAGAAAAAGAUAAUCCAACUAGAGCAAGAUGAGGGUACAAUUAUAGGACAUGAGAACCUAAAAUUGUACAUAUCCAAAUAUUAUAAGAAACUUUUCGGAGCACCUGAAGAUAGUUUCGUAUCUCUAGAUGAGAGUGCGAUCGGGGACAUACCUCAACUCAACUCAGAAGAGAAUGAGGUGUUGUCAGCUCUUUUCAUUGUGAAAGAGGUGUUUGAGGCAAUAAUGCAAAUGAAACAUAAUAAAGCGCCCGAGCUGGAUGGGUUCCCGGCAGAAUUUUAUCAAAAAUGUUGGCAUAUCAUAAAGCAAGAUCUUAUGCCUAUGUUCCAUGAUUUGUUCAUGGCCACUUGA